GUCCUGGCAGUAAACGGUGUGCGCUUGGUGUGAGGGGAAUCGACCCCCUUGUGCCGGAGCUAACGCGUUAAGCGCACCGCCUGGGAAGUACGGUCGCAAGACUAAAACUCAAAGAAAUUGACGGGGACCCGCACAAGCGGUGGAGUAUGUGGCUUAAUUCGAUGCAACGCGAAGAACCUUACCAAGGCUUGACAUGCAUCUCUAAGCGCGUGAAAGCGCGUGACCCUUCGGGGAAUUUGCACAGGUGCUGCAUGGCCGUCGU
rnacentral:rRNA from 1 species